CGUAUUGAUAUAUAGUUAUAUCAACACUCGUGGAAAUUGGGAAAACUCGAAAUUGUGUGAAAACACUCGUUUUCCCAAUUUCCACUCGUGUUGAUAUAACUGUAUAUCAACAUG